UGCGUAGGCGGAAUAUUAAGUCAGUGGUGAAAUCCUGCGGCUCAACCGUAGAACUGCCAUUGAUACUGAUAUUCUUGAAUGUAGUUGAGGUAGGCGGAAUGUGUAAUGUAGCGGUGAAAUGCUUAGAUAUUACACAGAACACCGAUUGCGAAGGCAGCUUACUAAACUAUGAUUGACGCUGAGGCACGAAAGCGUGGGGAGCGAACAGGAUUAGAUCCCCUGGUAGUCC
rnacentral:rRNA from 1 species